AGUGAACGCUGGCGGUAGGCCUAACACAUGCAAGUCGAACGGCAGCACAGGAGAGCUUGCUCUCUGGGUGGCGAGUGGCGGACGGGUGAGGAAUACAUCGGAAUCUACUCUGUCGUGGGGGAUAACGUAGGGAAACUUACGCUAAUACCGCAUACGACCUACGGGUGAAAGCAGGGGACCUCCGGGCCUUGCGCGAUUGAAUGAGCCGAUGUCGGAUUAGCUAGUUGGCGGGGUAAAGGCCCACCAAGGCGACGAUCCGUAGCUGGUCUGAGAGGAUGAUCAGCCACACUGGAACUGAGACACGGUCCAGACUCCUACGGGAGGCAGCAGUGGGGAAUAUUGGACAAUGGGCGCAAGCCUGAUCCAGCCAUACCGCGUGGGUGAAGAAGGCCUUCGGGUUGUAAAGCCCUUUUGUUGGGAAAGAAAUCCAGCUGGCUAAUACCCGGUUGGGAUGACGGUACCCAAAGAAUAAGCACCGGCUAACUUCGUGACAGCAGCCGCCGUAA
rnacentral:rRNA from 1 species